GAGACCGAGUGUGGGCGAGAGAGAACGAGUGUGCGGGUAAAGGAUCAAAUAAACAUACUGAACCAUUUUAACUUGUACGGUAGCAUUAAGUUGAGGUAUCCUGCAGUUUUUAAAUAUGCCUAAAAACUUUUAUUAUCAAUUAUAAACUAUUGUAUGGAGUCAAGGGAUUGGGGGCGUAAACAACUCGCCUGCGUGUGUUGCGUCAUCAGCUUGAAUCGCAGACGCAGAGUGAGGUGGAGCUGAAUCAGACAAGAGACAUGCGGCUGGAUCAAAGUUACGGCAGAGGACACACUUUGUAUGGCUUGAUGGUGUUGUGAACUGGAAGAAAUAAAACAUUCAAGGCUCCUCCGACAACAAUUAUCCUCUUUGAAAGUUUAUACCGAAGGACAAUGUUCUUUAGUUUAAAACCUUUUGUUUUGUUAUUGAGAUGAUCAAGAACUGUUCUUAUGUUCUGUGAUAUGUUUGAUCUAAUGAGAAAAUUAGAAAGAGGCAAUAAACUCUCCACUGUUUUUCAGAAAAAUCCUUCAGUUUCUGGAUAUUCUCUCCUUUUCCAGCAUCUUAUUAAGCUCCAUAUUAAAGCUUACCUGGGGAAGAGUCUGUACUUUAUCCGGUUGUUAAGUCAUGACGUAAGGAAUU